rnacentral:miRNA from 1 species
CACGUGGUCUCCUUCUCCAU